GGGAUGGGACUACCUCUCCCCCCGCCCCGCCAAGACUAGCCCUCUCCCCACCCCCGCUGCUGUCCUGCCCUGACGCCUGCUCUGGGCUGGGGGCGGCGGGGGCGGGAGGUGCAAAGUCGCUCCGGUCGCCGCAGCGGCGGGACAGCCGCGCGCUCUCCGCAAUGAUGUCAACUGCAUCCUCCGCAGCACCCCCACCACCACCCCACCCCGGGCCUCGGCCGCCUCCCGGCCUGCGGAAACUCUUGUCCCGUGCGUCCAACCUGGGGUUCGUAGCAGAGAGCUUGCAGUGCCCUAAGCCCCUCACUCCAUUUGCCAUAGCUGAAGAGACGGGCUGGACCCACUGCGGCCACCAGGGAGGAGGAAGGGGAGCAGGGCGGGGGACCAGGUGUAGGUUUGCUGGCCGGGGCCGCUGAGCAGGUCGGCCCGGGACCGACGCGGCCCCGGCUACGUUAAGGAGGCGAAGGGCAGGGACCACUGCAGGUGCCGCGCAUGUGGGCACGGCGAAAGCGCCCCCUUCUCCCAGGAUAGAAAUGGAUAAACGGAAGCGCGUGUGAAUGUGGGGGUGCGAAUCGCCACCUCCAGCCUUGGCUUUCCCGCUCUUCCGAGAGCUCCCACUUCUCACUUUCCCCAAAUCCGCAUUUUCCUUGGCACAGCUCUCCCCAAGCAAGAAGGAGAGGGAGGUACCCGGGGGCAGUGAGAAUGACGUGAGCUGGUGCAGAGAGGGGGUGGGGGGCUAUGGGCCCGGCUCUGUGGACUGGCUCCUAAUCCUCUUGUUUUCGGUACAGUCAGCAGAUGUGGCUUCUUUUAGCUGAAUAAUCCGUUAAAGGAAUAAUAAUUUUUAAAAAGGAGAUCGACCUCACCCAAAGAGGACGGCGAGCGAGAUUAGGGCUUGUAGAUCUACUGCCUUUGGUGGGGCUGACUGGAACGCUGCGGACUGUGACCAGUCUCUUAAAAAGAAGAACAAAAAGAGGAAGACCCUGAGUGGAUCCUCGGACAAAGCGCUUUGGGCUCGGCGUGAAGGGACGCGCGGGAGAGCUGGCAGGGGAGAACGAGUGGUCCCCCGUGCCGAAGGGCGCCCGCCGGGCGUGCGGACCUCUGAGGCUAUUCGUCUUGAAUUUUUUUCAGCCUUUUGCGAGAGGACUGCAGCAGCCGAGUUCCGGAAGGCUGAUUCCCCAGAUCCCGACCCCGGACCCCGGCAGCUCGCCCCUGCUGCACGCCCGGCCCGGCUGCGCCAGGACUCAGCGAGCGAGGAAAAAGCCUGGAUCCGAAAGGAUGCGGGAGAACAAAGAGCCUUUGGAAGACGUCGCUGUUAUCUCAUUGUCUGUGUGAUUGGGGGAGCUGCGGUAGGGAGGAUGCUGUGGUCCUUUUUCUCCCUGCUCUCCCCCACCCCCACGUCUCUCCCCGCUGUCAGUGCGCACGCACACGCGCCGCUUUUUACUUGUUUUUCCUUGUUUUCUCAUUCCAUCUUCUCCCCAUCCCCCUUCCUUUCUUCCACCUUGCUUUCCUUCCUCCUUUCCUUCCUCAGGAGAAAGGCCUCUCUCUCCGUGUUCACAGCGGACCUUGAUUUAAAUGUCCAUACAAUUAAGGCACGCGGUGAAUGCCAAGAAUGGGGCUGGCUGAGCACCGUCGAUCCGCGAGGGCCCUCCGAGGAAGGAGCCACAGAGCCGGGUCGCCUUCCGCAGAGCUCGGCGCUGCGGCUUCAGGCGGGAGGGGUCACGGGCUCUCGCCGGCUGGGCUGCCCCAACCGGAGCCCUUGGGGUGCGGAGAUGUGUGGCUUGUGACGGAGAGGGGCUUAGAGAUGCAAACAGACUGAGAGAGAGAAACAGAAGCUGAUUCUGUGACAGAAACACAGUUCUAUGCAAGCACAGAUGCGGCGGGUGGAGUGGUGGUGAUGUGAGCGCAUUGCGGAGGGCUUCUGUGUGCAGGUUUUUCUCUGGGCUCGGGGUGCCUUGAUUGUAAGCAGGUCGACACCUUUCUUCGUGGCUGUGUUUUUGCUCUGGUCUUAGCUUUUGGUUUGCCCUUUAAGCAAAUACUCUGGCAUCCAGAAGACUGGCAGACUGUUCCAGGGCUGGGACUGCAGAUAUAUUGUGUUCUGCUUGCGGUUGCAGCGGGUGGCAGGGAGGGGAGCAAGCUGCAAGGGAGGAGGGAGGUGUUUGUCCCCUAUUGCUGUAGAGCCCUGGGCACCUGACAAGCUUAAGGAAGUCAUUGAGAUACAGGAGGAGGAAGCACCCAACUCCUAGACCCUUCACAAACUCCAUCAGUGCUGAAAGUAUGGCCAGGACUCACUUCUCCCUUGCAGCUGUAAUUACAGUUUCAGGCCGAGAUCCAGGAGCUGCAGAGGAAGGGAGAGGCGCAGUAACCUACAUGUACCCAAGGGGUGGGGGGGUGGGGAGAUCUGCAUUCAUUUUUAAAAUCUGAGGGAAAGGAAAAACAAGAUGUACAGGUGGGGGUCUGAGGAAAGACUGUUUUUGAAAGAGGUUAUCAGGGAAUGGAAAAGGUUAAUCCUCCCUCGUUCUGGAGAAUCUGCUUCCCAAAUCAGCCCUUCUCUCCAUCACCAGACCUGGGGCAGCAGCUGGUCUUAGAGAUACCCCUGUGCUCCACACUCCAUCAUCCCCCCUAACUCACCUCCAGCUCUGUAUUAACCAGUGGAUAAUGGUGAGACUUAAACUCAUUAAUUUCCAGGUGGAGAAAAUGGAGGAGGGGCAGGUCUCUAUAGAGAAAGGAGGCCAAGAACUGGAUCUUCCUACCUAGGAAGACUGCUGCAUCCCUUUCCCAGCCCUUGGCAGAGGCCUGUCUUUGCAAGGCCAAGGCCGUAAGGGAUGCUUGGAAUUUUAGUUUGUUUCUGACAAAGUAGUCAAGGCCUAAAAGAUUCUCAGUUGAAGCUCACUGAGGAGAGCUCUAUUUUCUCCAAAGCCUCAGUCUAGUCCACUAAAUAAAUGAGUGAUCAUGGAUUCCUAGCCUCAUCUCCUCUCAAAUAUGUAUUGAGUAUGUACUAUGUGCCAACCAUUGCGUAAUCAUUAUAUCUUAUGUUCUUCCUUUGCUCUCCUUAGUGGGUGUCUGCGAUGUUAAAUGUUCUGUGCCCCAUCUAGACACUCCCAGAACCUGCUCUGGGGCUGCAGAAAUGUGUCAGAACCUGCACAGUUCAUGUGAGGCUGCAGUUCUUGUUGUGCAAACUGCAGACACAGUGCUGUCCUUCAAGUCCCAGAAGGCAAGCCUGGCUGGAGGGCAGAAAAGAAGGCAGCUUCUCUUGUCCCUGAACCUUAGGCAGGGUUGUCCUAAGAAGUAUUAACAGCCACUGCCUUCAAAAUCGUUCUCCUUCCAAAAGGCCCUUACUUGGCGCUCCCCUCCCGCCCCCACUGAGAUGGCUGCUUUUACUGUUCUUUGGGGCCUGGCUUAAGCUUCUGAUGACCAGUCCUCCACCCCGAAGUUGUCCGCAUUAGUGAGCCUCAUCUCCGUAAUUGCUUCCCCAUAAUUCCAUCAGACGUGGCUCUGCCCGUCACUGAGGUGCCUGCCGCCAGUACAAUCUCCAGAUGCCUCCCCAAGAAAUGCCCCCUUUUAGGUGGAAACCUAACACCUUUCUCCCUGAGAGUUUAAACCACAGGCACCAUGGACAGGGCCUGCCAGGUUCCUACUACUGAUCAUCUACAUGGGAAGGGCAUUUUUUUUUUUAAAUUACUUGUGUAAACUAUUGUUCCAGAAACCUUUAAUGUGUGAGGGAGUGUUCUGGGUUUGCUAGGGCUUUUUCUGGGUUCACCAUGUCUCAUUAUAAAGUGUGUUUUUAUAGAGGGCUUUAAUGGCUGAAAUGCAGCCAUGAAUGUACCACUCUGCCCCCUGGAUAAUUUCAAGGCCCCUUUUGUGUUCUACAGAUAGAGGUACGGGGUGAGGGUCAGUCCUAGCUUUUUCCCCUUGGCUGUAUUAGGGACCUAUUUAUGUGCAAUGAUAUUUAUAUAAGAAACCUGAAGAUUUUUGCUUUUUCUAAGGCAUUCGUUUAAUUCUUAACAUCAUCUUCUCCCCUACCUGUCUAUUUCAGCCCCUCUAAUUAAAUGAUGAAAAAAUACUAUAUGAUUUUUUAAAUAUAGGACAUGUUUGAGGCAGUUUGUUGACCAAAUAUGCUAUGGAGACCCCCAUGGAUUCACACAAACCAACAUCUAUAUGGUCCUCAUGACCACGGGACUCAUAGGUUUCUCACGGUGGCAGCACCAGAUGUCUUAAAAUGGAUAUAGAAAUGUAUCAAAAGAAAAACUGGUAACAUUCUUCUUUCCCUGCCAGAGACUGCCCAGGCCCAUAUCUCUGUCUAAGUGAAAAGAAACUGAUCCUUUAACAAAGGCAAAGGUAAAUUUCUCUAUCACCUCUACCGCUUCCUGUCCCCAAUAAGGUGGGUGGGGGGAACAGUUUUGGGGGCCAUAUAUAUGGAGCCUUAACCAGAAAAAUAAGUAUGGGGGAGGGGUAAUUUCUCAGUAGGCAUAUGCCCAUAUACACAGAUUUUUUUGUAUAAUCAUAUUCAUUGCUAAUAUUUAUAGGAAAGCAUUUAUCCCCAACACACACACACACACACACACACAAAACCAAUCCACCUAUAUAUACUGUCUCCAUAGAGAAAUGUUUUUCUCUUUCCCUCUACUGAACUUACAUAAUACCCCCACCCCUUAGAAUGUUCCAAACCUUAGAAUGGAGUGCUCUGGGGGCAGCUGCAAAGCCUGCUCCCUAGGACAGAUGGAACCACCCUUCUUCAUCUACUCUGUGGGUGGUUUUAGAGCUGUGAGUCAACAGGGCUGAGGGAUGUGCUGGUGAUUUGUGUUUGAGUCUUGCCUGACUGAUUCAUUGUGUUGAGUUUGUCAACAACAAUUAUGAGAAUUCUGAUACCUAAUAAAGAUAUUUUUUUUUUCUUCCAAGUCCC
rnacentral:lncRNA from 9 species